GAGUUUGAUCAUGGCUCAGGACGAACGCUGGCGGCGUGCUUAACACAUGCAAGUCGAACGAUGAAGCCUUAACUUUGUUUUGGUGGAUUAGUGGCGAACGGGUGAGUAAUACGUGAGUAACCUGCCCCUGUCUUUGGGAUAAGCCUGGGAAACUGGGUCUAAUACUGGAUAUUCUGCCUUCUCCGCAUGGGGUUGGUUGGAAAGAUUUUUUGGAUGGGGAUGGGCUCACGGCCUAUCAGCUUGUUGGUGGGGUGAUGGCCUACCAAGGCUUCGACGGGUAGCCGGCCUGAGAGGGUGACCGGCCACAUUGGGACUGAGAUACGGCCCAGACUCCUACGGGAGGCAGCAGUGGGGAAUAUUGCACAAUGGACGCAAGUCUGAUGCAGCGACGCCGCGUGGGGGAUGAAGGCUUUCGGGUUGUAAACUCCUUUCAGUACAGAAGAAGCGAAAGUGACGGUAUGUGCAGAAGAAGCACCGGCUAACUACGUGCCAGCAGCCGCGGUAAUACGUAGGGUGCGAGCGUUGUCCGGAAUUAUUGGGCGUAAAGAGCUCGUAGGCGGUUUGUUGCGCCUGCUGUGAAAACCUGGGGCUUAACUUCGGGAUUGCAGUGGGUACGGGCAGACUAGAGUGUGGUAGGGGUAAUUGGAAUUCCUGGUGUAGCGGUGGAAUGCGCAGAUAUCAGGAGGAACACCGAUGGCGAAGGCAGGUUACUGGGCCACCACUGACGCUGAGGAGCGAAAGCGUGGGUAGCGAACAGGAUUAGAUACCCUGGUAGUCCACGCCGUAAACGUUGGGCACUAGGUGUGGGGCCUUUCCAUGGGUUCUGCGCCGUAGCUAACGCAUUAAGUGCCCCGCCUGGGGAGUA
rnacentral:rRNA from 1 species